GGAAGCAAAGAAAGAGGACGUGAGUCAUGAGACACAACAUAUGCGCAAAAGUUAAAGAUAUUAAUCAAAUGAAAUUUAACUGUCAGAUUAUAUUUCAAAAGUUAAAGAUAUUUAAUAUGAUGAUUGAACUAGACACAGCCACCAAUAAUGUAAUGCAUACAGACGAAGGAAUAUAUACUUCUAUCAAUUUUUCUGCAAGUCUUUAGCUAUGGUACAUUUUGAUCUGUUUUUAGCUGUCAAGUCUUGAUUUUACUGUAGCUAUCUAAUUAUAAUACUUUGUGAUGGCU
rnacentral:lncRNA from 1 species